UAAUAACCCUCACGUAUUGAACACUUGUAAGUGCAAAAUUGGUAAUUGUCCAAUUUAUGAACACCGACAGAAGGGAUCGGCAGGUGGGUGGAGAAAAGAUAGACGGGUGAUUGAGUUCGACGAUUUAGUUAGAAAUUUAGCUCACUGCAAGGAAUGUCGUCUUGGACCUUUAUUCUCACAAGCGACAACAUUGUGGGGGAGCUUCAAAAUGGCUUGGGUGGCUAUCUGUACGUUAUGUGUUCGAAUUUAGAGUGAGGAGCUGUAAAUUUGGUUUCAUAUGGAACAACACACUAGAACAAAUCGAAGGGGUGUCCUGCUUUGAAAUAAACACAAAGCUUGGAUUUGCAAUGAUUGACAGCAUUGGUGGGGCUGUCAAAGUUAACAAUUUCUUUGCUACUCUUGAUCUUGCUGAUAAGCCUAGAAAAUCUUAAGGAAAUUGAGAGAAGGGCUGGUGAAGUGAUAGAAGCUGUCUGAGCAAAAUCACAGAGACGGUCAGCUGAAGAGGCUUACAAAUAAUGAAAUGGAGUAUUGGUCAUACAGCAGACCCAGAUAUACAGACCUUACCAGAUGCAUUUCUAAGGGAAAGUUCAAGCCAGUAAAGACAGAAAAUCCUACAUUUAUAUCAUUUGAUUUGGAAACUACAGAUCUAAAGGAGUUGACAUUUGCUUUCCUAAAACCAGAUUUUGAAUAUAGAAAAGAGAUAAAAGUCAUAUGUCACAUUUCUAAACUGUGUAAAGUAUUGAAAUAAUCAUUAU